ACUUGAACUUCGGUUUGGGUGGCGGACGGGUGAGUAACGCGUAAAGAACUUGCCUCACAGUUAGGGACAACAUUUGGAAACGAAUGCUAAUACCUGAUAUUAUGAUUUUAGGGCAUCCUAAGAUUAUGAAAGCUAUAUGCGCUGUGAGAGAGCUUUGCGUCCCAUUAGCUAGUUGGAGAGGUAACGGCUCACCAAGGCGAUGAUGGGUAGCCGGCCUGAGAGGGUGAACGGCCACAAGGGGACUGAGACACGGCCCUUACUCCUACGGGAGGCAGCAGUGGGGAAUAUUGGACAAUGGACCAAAAGUCUGAUCCAGCAAUUCUGUGUGCACGAUGACGUUUUUCGGAAUGUAAAGUGCUUUCAGUUGGGAAGAAAAAAAUGACGGUACCAACAGAAGAAGUGACGGCUAAAUACGUGCCAGCAGCCGCGGUAAUACGUAUGUCACAAGCGUUAUCCGGAUUUAUUGGGCGUAAAGCGCGUCUAGGUGGUUAUGUAAGUCUGAUGUGAAAAUGCAGGGCUCAACUCUGUAUUGCGUUGGAAACUGCAUGACUAGAGUACUGGAGAGGUAAGCGGAACUACAAGUGUAGAGGUGAAAUUCGUAGAUAUUUGUAGGAAUGCCGAUGGGGAAGCCAGCUUACUGGACAGAUACUGACGCUAAAGCGCGAAAGCGUGGGUAGCAAACAGGAUUAGAUACCCUGGUAGUCCACGCCGUAAACGAUGAGUGCUAAGUGUUGGUCUCAUAAGAGAUCAGUGCUGCAGCUAACGCAUUAAGCACUCCGCCUGGGGAGUACGACCGCAAGGUUGAAACUCAAAGGAAUUGACGGGGACCCGCACAAGCGGUGGAGCAUGUGGUUUAA
rnacentral:rRNA from 1 species